rnacentral:tRNA from 1 species
UCCCCCAUGGUGUAAUCAGGCAGCACAGUCCACUUUGGAUGGAUCGGUUCAGGUUCGAGUCCUGAUGGGGGAG